rnacentral:rRNA from 1 species
UGAUGAACGCUGGCGGCGUGCCUAACACAUGCAAGUCGAGCGAGACGGCUUAGAAUGAUCCUUCGGGAGAAUGAUAAGCUAGACAGCGGCGGACGGGUGAGUAACGCGUGGAUAACCUGCCUUAUACUGGGGGAUAACGUUUUGAAAAGAACGCUAAUACCGCAUAAGCGCACAGGACCGCAUGGUCUGGUGUGAAAAACUCCGGUGGUAUAAGAUGGAUCCGCGUCAGAUUAGCUAGUUGGUGAGAUAAAAGCUCACCAAGGCAACGAUCUGUAGCCGACCUGAGAGGGUGAUCGGCCACAUUGGGACUGAGACACGGCCCAAACUCCUACGGGAGGCAGCAGUGGGGAAUAUUGCACAAUGGGGGAAACCCUGAUGCAGCGACGCCGCGUGAAGGAUGAAGGUUUUCGGAUCGUAAACUUCUAUCAGCAGGGAAGAUAGUGACUGUACCUGACUAAGAAGCCCCGGCUAACUACGUGCCAGCAGCCGCGGUAAUACGUANGGGGCAAGCGUUAUCCGGAAUUACUGGGUGU